rnacentral:rRNA from 1 species
CGGAGGAAAAGAAACCAACAGGGAUUGCCUCAGUAACGGCGAGUGAAGCGGCAAAAGCUCAAAUUUGAAAUCCUUCGGGAAUUGUAUUUUGAAAAAGUGGGGAACAACCCAAAGAUACCUUAAGUGCAUUGGAAAAUGCCGCCACAGAGGGUGAUAGCCCCGUAAAGGAUAUCCUAGGGCCUCUUUCCCCCCUUUAAAGAGUCGAGUUGUUUGGGAAUGCAGCUCUAAGUGGGUGGUAAAUUCCAUCUAAAGCUAAAUAUUGGCGAGAGACCGAUAGCGAACAAGUACAGUGAUGGAAAGAUGAAAAGCACUUUGAAAAGAGAGUGAAAAAGUACGUGAAAUUGUUGAAAGGGAAGGGCUUGCAAGCAGACACUUUUUAAAGGGCCAGCAUCGGGGAGAAGGGAGACAAAAAAGAAAAGAAAUGUAGCUUCGGUGUUAUAUUCUCUUCCCAUAUCUCCUCUCCUUCCCGAGGCCUGCGUAUCUAGGAUGCUGGCGUAAUGGUUGCAAGUCGCCCGUCUUG